GAGAAUUAAAUUGAAAUGGUGCUUAUGGAUGAGAAGGUACAUUAGGUUAAUUAAAUCUAUUUGUGUUUUAUAUGCAUCGUAAAAUUUAAUUGGUUAUUCAAUCAUAUUAGUUAUUUUCAGGGUUCCAAGAUUCAUGCUACUGUCCGAAGGCAUUUGAUUCAUUUGUUUAAGGAUAUUCUUUUUGAAGGCAAGUUUUUCUCGGCUGGUUUCAAAAGUAUGCAUCCCUUUUCCUAAAUUCUCAAUUUCGCAAAAGCAUUCAAACCCUAUAAUACUCUCAUUUCUCACAAAUUUUCAUCUUUUCUCACUCAAAUUCAUUCAAUUUUACUCCUCUCAUCCACAAAAAUUCAUUAUAUUCCUCUGACAAGGGUUCACAGGGGUUUGCAAAAGAAUUCAUCCAUUUGUUUUAAAUCCUAGAUUUUAUCUCUUUUUUAUCUUUUCAUAAGUAAGUCUAUUAUAAUGCUUUAAUGUUCAUUAUUCCUGAAUUAGAUUUCCAUGGUGUUUGAAGGUUCGUGUGAUGCGUUUGUGGAUCAUCAAGUCCAAUCUAAUAUCUGGCCAGGAAAAUUCAAUUGAAAUGGUGCUUAUCAAUGAGAAGGUACAAUAGCUUAAUUAAAUCAUUUUUAUUUAUUUAUAUGUAAUGUAAUUAUGCUUAUCUACUUAAAUAAAUUGUUUUCCAGAGCUGCAAGAUUCAUGCUACUGUCCGGAGGCACCUGAUUCAUUUGUUUAAGGGUGUUCUUAAGGGUGCACCUGAUUCAUUACCGGUAGUUGUUAUCCAAUUUGGAAAAAUUAGAUAUUUCAGGGGUAAACCUUUUUGUUGUUAAUAAGUUAUAGAUAUUGUUUUUGUGAUUGUUGUGUUAAGGUUAAUGAUUUAUGUUGUUAAUUAUUCUGCAUUGGAAUUUCUUUUGAUUUUUCUUAUAGUGAAAGUGAGCACUCAAAGUAUUGAAGAAAUGUCUCAAUAUGAAAAAUUAAUGGCUUUGUGGUCUUAUUUUUUGUGCUUUCAUAUAUUCAUAAUUGAUAUGGAGUAAUUUUACUUGGCCUUUUCUCUACGAAUAUUAGGUUGAUCAAUAUAUGGUUUUUUCUUUCUCUACAACCUAUAUGUUCCCUAACACUUUAGGUCUUUUGAUUAUGAAAGGUGUACAUGGAUUUAAUACGCAGUGGUACAGCUUCUAUAUGCAUAACUUGGAGGAGCUUAACAAAUGUUGGAGUCCAUGGCUUCUUUCAUUGAAUGUCUGGUAUUUUCUCCAAUUAUAUUCAGUUUUCAGGUUCAUUUUUCCUCUAAAUUUCAAUUAGGUUCAAUUUUCAUUUAUUAAUUAAUUUGGAUAUUGAUCAUUUGAUAGUGGAAGUGGUAAGAAAGUUAUAUACAUCUUUUUAUCCUACUGGUUUUUUCAAUUUUUGUUUAUAUGUUAAUGUCUUUUUAGUUUUAUAUGUCAAUGACUUUCACUGUGUCUAUCUUUCCUUUUUUCUGGUUUCUACUUAUGAUUUUCACUUUUGCAAAAGGGUUUAAAUCAAAUGGAUGAUGUUUCACUUUCGCAAACUUAAUUAUUUCUUAAAUGCUAUCUAUCGAUUGAUGAUCAUAUGAGCUGGAUUUUGAUGGUUUUCUGUUGUGUUGUUUAUUCCAGAUUUGGAAGGUAAGUGGAGAUCCGCAUGGA
rnacentral:lncRNA from 1 species